rnacentral:rRNA from 1 species
AUACGUAGGGGACAAGCGUUAUCCGGAUUUACUGGGUGUAAAGGGAGCGUAGGCGGCCAGCCAAGUCAGAAGUGAAAUCCCACGGCUCAACUGUGGGCGUGCUUUUGAAACUGGAGGGCUUGAGUACUGGAGGGGCAAGCGGAAUUCCUGGUGUAGCGGUGAAAUGCAUAGAUAUCAGGAAGAACACCGGAGGCGAAGGCGGCUUGCUGGACAGAGACUGACGCUGAGGCUCGAAGGCGUGGGGAGCAAACAGGAUUAGAUACCCUGGUAGUCCACGUGGUAAACGAUGAAUGCUAGGUAUUGGGCUCCAUAGGGGUUCGGUGCCGCAGUUAACGCAAUAAGCAUUCCACCUGGGGAGUACGUUCGCAAGAAUGAAACUCAAAUGAAUUGGCGGGG